GGUGGCCAUGGAAGUUGGAAUCCGCUAAGGAGUGUGUAACACCUCACCUGCCGAAGCAACUAGCCCUGAAGAUGGAUGGCGCUCAAGCGUCGCACUUAUACUUCGCCGUCGGGGUGGGUGUCAGGCCCCGACGAGUAGGAGGGCGCAGUGGUCGUGACGCAGCCUUUGGCGCGAGCCUGGGUGAAACGGCCUCUGGUGCAGAUCUUGGUGGUAGUGGCAAAUAUUCAAAUGAGAACUUUGAAGACCGAA
rnacentral:rRNA from 1 species